ensembl:rRNA 5S_rRNA 5S ribosomal RNA
GUCUACAGCCACACACUCCUAACGCACACAAUCUUGUCUGACCUUGGAAGCUACGCAGGGUCAGGCCUCAUUACUACUUGGAUGGGAGACCGCCUGGAAAUACAAGGUGCUGUAGGCU